rnacentral:misc_RNA from 1 species
GAUGAAGAACGUAGUGAAAUGCGAUAAGUAAUGUGAAUUGCAGAAUUCAGUGAAUCAUCGAAUCUUUGAACGCACAUUGCGCCCAUUAGUAUUCUAGUGGGCAUGCCUGUUCGAGCGUCAUUUCAACCCUUAAGCCUAGCUUAGUGUUGGGAGACUGCCUAAUACGCAGCUCCUCAAAACCAGUGGCGGAGUCUGUUCGUGCUCUGAGCGUAGUAAUUUUUUAUCUCGCUUCUGCAAGCCGGCCAGACGACAGCCAUAAACCGCACCCUCUCGGGGGGCACUUUUUUAAUGGUUGACCUCGGAUCAGGUAGGAAUACCCGCUGAACUUAAGCAUAUCAAAAGCGGAGGA